CGGAGUGUAGCGCAGUCUGGUAGCGCACAUCGUUCGGGACGAUGGGGUCGCAGGUUCAAAUCCUGCCACUCCGACCA
rnacentral:tRNA from 98 species